UAGGGAAUCUUCGGCAAUGGGGGCAACCCUGACCGAGCAACGCCGCGUGAGUGAAGAAGGUUUUCGGAUCGUAAAGCUCUGUUGUAAGUCAAGAACGGGUGUGAGAGUGGAAAGUUCACACUGUGACGGUAGCUUACCAGAAAGGGACGGCUAACUACGUGCCAGCAGCCGCGGUAAUACGUAGGUCCCGAGCGUUGUCCGGAUUUAUUGGGCGUAAAGCGAGCGCAGGCGGUUUGAUAAGUCUGAAGUUAAAGGCUGUGGCUCAACCAUAGUUGGCUUUGGAAACUGUCAAACUUGAGUGCAGAAGGGGAGAGUGGAAUUCCAUGUGUAGCGGUGAAAUGCGUAGAUAUAUGGAGGAACACCGGUGGCGAAAGCGGCUCUCUGGUCUGUAACUGACGCUGAGGCUCGAAAGCGUGGGGAGCGAACAGG
rnacentral:rRNA from 1 species